rnacentral:rRNA from 1 species
UACGUAGGGUGCAAGCGUUGUCCGGAAUUAUUGGGCGUAAAGAGCUCGUAGGCGGCCAGUUGCGUCCGCUGUGAAAUCCCGGGGCUUAACCCCGGGCGUGCAGUGGAUACGGGCUGGCUAGAGGCAGGCAGGGGAGAACGGAAUUCCCGGUGUAGCGGUGAAAUGCGCAGAUAUCGGGAGGGACACCGGUGGCGAAGGCGGGUCUCUGGGCCGAUACUGACGCUGAGGAGCGAAAGCGUGGGGAGCGAACAGG